GAAGCCAUGGCACAAACGCACCAG
rnacentral:siRNA from 1 species